GAUGAAGAACGCAGCAAAAUGCGAUAAGUAAUGUGAAUUGCAGAAUUCAGUGAAUCAUCGAAUCUUUGAACGCACAUUGCGCCCGCUGGUAUUCCGGCGGGCAUGCCUGUUCGAGCGUCAUUUCAACCCUCAAGCCCCCGGGUUUGGUGUUGGGGAUCGGCUCUGCCCUUCUGGGCGGUGCCGCCCCCGAAAUACAUUGGCGGUCUCGCUGCAGCCUCCAUUGCGUAGUAGCUAACACCUCGCAACUGGAACGCGGCGCGGCCAUGCCGUAAAACCCCAACUUCUGAAUGUUGACCUCGGAUCAGGUAGGAAUACCCGCUGAACUUAAGCAUACCAAUAAGCGGAGGA
rnacentral:misc_RNA from 1 species